rnacentral:rRNA from 1 species
UUAAGCGACUAAGCGUACACGGUGGAUGCCCUGGCAGUCAGAGGCGAUGAAGGACGUGCUAAUCUGCGAUAAGCGUCGGUAAGGUGAUAUGAACCGUUAUAACCGGCGAUUUCCGAAUGGGGAAACCCAGUGUGAUUCGUCACACUAUCAUUAACUGAAUCCAUAGGUUAAUGAGGCGAACCGGGGGAACUGAAACAUCUAAGUACCCCGAGGAAAAGAAAUCAACCGAGAUUCCCCCAGUAGCGGCGAGCGAACGGGGAGGAGCCCAGAGCCUGAAUCAGUGUGUGUGUUAGUGGAAGCGUCUGGAAAGGCGCGCGAUACAGGGUGACAGCCCCGUACACAAAAAUGCACAUAUUGUGAGCUCGAUGAGUAGGGCGGGACACGUGGUAUCCUGUCUGAAUAUGGGGGGACCAUCCUCCAAGGCUAAAUACUCCUGACUGACCGAUAGUGAACCAGUACCGUGAGGGAAAGGCGAAAAGAACCCCGGCGAGGGGAGUGAAAAAGAACCUGAAACCGUGUACGUACAAGCAGUGGGAGCACGCUUAGGCGUGUGACUGCGUACCUUUUGUAUAAUGGGUCAGCGACUUAUAUUCUGUAGCAAGGUUAACCGAAUAGGGGAGCCGAAGGGAAACCGAGUCUUAACUGGGCGUUAAGUUGCAGGGUAUAGACCCGAAACCCGGUGAUCUAGCCAUGGGCAGGUUGAAGGUUGGGUAACACUAACUGGAGGACCGAACCGACUAAUGUUGAAAAAUUAGCGGAUGACUUGUGGCUGGGGGUGAAAGGCCAAUCAAACCGGGAGAUAGCUGGUUCUCCCCGAAAGCUAUUUAGGUAGCGCCUCGUGAAUUCAUCUCCGGGGGUAGAGCACUGUUUCGGCAAGGGGGUCAUCCCGACUUACCAACCCGAUGCAAACUGCGAAUACCGGAGAAUGUUAUCACGGGAGACACACGGCGGGUGCUAACGUCCGUCGUGAAGAGGGAAACAACCCAGACCGCCAGCUAAGGUCCCAAAGUCAUGGUUAAGUGGGAAACGAUGUGGGAAGGCCCAGACAGCCAGGAUGUUGGCUUAGAAGCAGCCAUCAUUUAAAGAAAGCGUAAUAGCUCACUGGUCGAGUCGGCCUGCGCGGAAGAUGUAACGGGGCUAAACCAUGCACCGAAGCUGCGGCAGCGACGCUUAUGCGUUGUUGGGUAGGGGAGCGUUCUGUAAGCCUGCGAAGGUGUGCUGUGAGGCAUGCUGGAGGUAUCAGAAGUGCGAAUGCUGACAUAAGUAACGAUAAAGCGGGUGAAAAGCCCGCUCGCCGGAAGACCAAGGGUUCCUGUCCAACGUUAAUCGGGGCAGGGUGAGUCGACCCCUAAGGCGAGGCCGAAAGGCGUAGUCGAUGGGAAACAGGUUAAUAUUCCUGUACUUGGUAUUACUGCGAAGGGGGGACGGAGAAGGCUAUGUUGGCCGGGCGACGGUUGUCCCGGUUUAAGCGUGUAGGCUGGUUUUCCAGGCAAAUCCGGAAAAUCAAGGCUGAGGCGUGAUGACGAGGCACUACGGUGCUGAAGCAACAAAUGCCCUGCUUCCAGGAAAAGCCUCUAAGCAUCAGGUAACAUCAAAUCGUACCCCAAACCGACACAGGUGGUCAGGUAGAGAAUACCAAGGCGCUUGAGAGAACUCGGGUGAAGGAACUAGGCAAAAUGGUGCCGUAACUUCGGGAGAAGGCACGCUGAUAUGUAGGUGAAGUCCCUUGCGGAUGGAGCUGAAAUCAGUCGAAGAUACCAGCUGGCUGCAACUGUUUAUUAAAAACACAGCACUGUGCAAACACGAAAGUGGACGUAUACGGUGUGACGCCUGCCCGGUGCCGGAAGGUUAAUUGAUGGGGUCAGCGCAAGCGAAGCUCUUGAUCGAAGCCCCGGUAAACGGCGGCCGUAACUAUAACGGUCCUAAGGUAGCGAAAUUCCUUGUCGGGUAAGUUCCGACCUGCACGAAUGGCGUAAUGAUGGCCAGGCUGUCUCCACCCGAGACUCAGUGAAAUUGAACUCGCUGUGAAGAUGCAGUGUACCCGCGGCAAGACGGAAAGACCCCGUGAACCUUUACUAUAGCUUGACACUGAACAUUGAGCCUUGAUGUGUAGGAUAGGUGGGAGGCUUUGAAGUGUGGACGCCAGUCUGCAUGGAGCCGGCCUUGAAAUACCACCCUUUAAUGUUUGAUGUUCUAACGUGGACCCGUGAUCCGGGUUGCGGACAGUGUCUGGUGGGUAGUUUGACUGGGGCGGUCUCCUCCUAAAGAGUAACGGAGGAGCACGAAGGUUGGCUAAUCCUGGUCGGACAUCAGGAGGUUAGUGCAAUGGCAUAAGCCAGCUUGACUGCGAGCGUGACGGCGCGAGCAGGUGCGAAAGCAGGUCAUAGUGAUCCGGUGGUUCUGAAUGGAAGGGCCAUCGCUCAACGGAUAAAAGGUACUCCGGGGAUAACAGGCUGAUACCGCCCAAGAGUUCAUAUCGACGGCGGUGUUUGGCACCUCGAUGUCGGCUCAUCACAUCCUGGGGCUGAAGUAGGUCCCAAGGGUAUGGCUGUUCGCCAUUUAAAGUGGUACGCGAGCUGGGUUUAGAACGUCGUGAGACAGUUCGGUCCCUAUCUGCCGUGGGCGCUGGAGAACUGAGGGGGGCUGCUCCUAGUACGAGAGGACCGGAGUGGACGCAUCACUGGUGUUCGGGUUGUCAUGCCAAUGGCACUGCCCGGUAGCUAAAUGCGGAAGAGAUAAGUGCUGAAAGCAUCUAAGCACGAAACUUGCCCCGAGAUGAGUUCUCCCUGACCCUUUAAGGGUCCUGAAGGAACGUUGAAGACGACGACGUUGAUAGGCCGGGUGUGUAAGCGCAGCGAUGCGUUGAGCUAACCGGUACUAAUGAACCGUGAGGCUUAACCUU